UAUUGUGCACAUAUUUUGGGGCGGAGCUAUGUAAUCAGCAGAGUCGCAUAUCUCGUCCUGCUGAUUUCUCAUGCAACAUCGAUGCACUGCAUUCUGAUCAUUCUUUUGGUGCUGUUUGUCCCAGUUUUGUCUUGUCCCAGGCCCAGUAAAGCAACUUUGAGUGACCAUCCACCUGAUCUCAGCCUGAAUUAUUCCAUCCAACACACACACAGUCACACAAAUAUGGAGUGACGGCAGAAGGUCUGGACUCCAUCGCAGCUUUCAUUGGCCAAGGACCUCCCAGAGGCUGUCUGACUGACAUGUGAACCAUUAAAGAACGCAGCACGCACGUCUCCCGGACAUCCUGUAGAAUUCGACCAGAUGACGACUUCGGAACUCCUGAUGCCACAUGCAUCCAGCCAAUGGUCCGUGGGCAUGACAUCUAAGCCUGAGACUAGGCAGCUCAAAGUGCCUCCAGAGAAAACCCACGGGGCCCAAUCAGUAGAAGAUCAUUUCAGGCCUCAUGGUGCUGAGCUCCGGCUGAUCCCUGGGUCUCCAGACAGUGUUCAAAGCGAUCUGUUUAAUGGCUAAUGUUCUUACCGCCCUCCUGCUGGUGCAGAUAGUCAGUCAGACUCACCCUCAGGCUGCAGGUCCUCUCAUGCUGACCUCAUCAUCAAUAACCCUCAUCACCACUGCAAGUCACAUGUCGCUGAUAAUGUCUACAUACCUAUAGCACUCAGAGUCUGCCAUUAGUGUCUGAAUAGUAUUGUGCCACAGAAUCGGCAGCUUCCCACUUAUGAAUGAGGGGAAUGUGGAUACUGGAUCAACAACAAGGUGUUCAUUAACCAGCAAAGCAUAGUCCUCUCCACUCUUCCAGACAGGCUAGGCUGAGUGGGUCUCUGUGAAGGGAGACUGAUAUCCGGAAGAUCCGAGAGUUACUGAGUUUCUGCUUUAUAGGGUGCUCUUUGGUUCUUCUUUUGAUGUCGCAUAAUAUGAUCUUCAGAUCAGUGUGUUGGUUCUAUGUAUGCUAUACGGCCAAAAGUUCAGUGGGGUUCAGGUCUGGGCUUUGUGCAGACCAGUCAAAAUAGUCAUUCAGUAAAUCCUUGAAGGAACCAUUUUUAAGAUUGUGGCCUUAGUUUGUGAUGUGGUAAAAGAAUUUUGGUUGGACAUUUAUAAACUAAUGCAAGUAAACUUCACUAGCUCCUUUUGUAUUUAUUCGUAAGUAGACAGAAUCCAACCAGGCCCGAUUUUAGGGCACUUGAGUGUGUAGCUCAGCAAAAGGCUGAAGGCUGAAGGUCUGGUGACUCCAGAGCGUCUGGUCAAAGACUCCCAGAGGCAGCGUGAAAACCAUGGCAACUUGGAUAGCGGUGAGAACGUAGAGACAGAGACGGCCUCCACUAGAGGAGAUAAUGCUAAUGAGGACUCAUAGGGUGAAACAAAAUGGCUUAAUUGUAUUGUGUUCAUCCCGUGUUAGAGCACAAAGGCUCGGGGAGGUUACGCUCACACAUGAGGCUUAUUGUAAUCCCUCCGUAAUUACCAAGGCAAGGCAUCUUCUCAUGGGAGCAGAGGGCUGUCCUCGCUGCACUAUUCACACGUAUCCUUAAGGAAGUAUCAAUUCCUUACUAAGAAGAGUCACAAAAGCUUGACAAAACCACAUUCAGAGCACCUUUGUUGGGGCGUAGAGCUAUGAUAGACAUCUACAGUGUUGAGAGAAAGGCUCAUUCAGACGCAGGUCACUGUUAAUGUCAAAUGCGGAGAACCGAAACCGAACAACGGCACAACGAUCUAUAAAGCCGCGCUAUAAGUUGCCAAUAUGGGGCAGAAAUGUGUCGUGCAUUAUUUAAAUGCUGUGCCCGGGUGACAAUAGUUUGUUUGGAGGUCUUUUGAAAUGUCUCAGUCAGAGGCCAUUGGCGUUCUCUCUCUCUCUCUCCCUCUAGCUUUUGACAGGAAGCUCAUGAUUUUUAACGUACGCUGCAUGCAUAAUACAUCAGCCCGCACAAUCACAUACAGGAUGUGCGAGCCAGCGGACGCAGCGAGCACCUGUGCCGAACAAAGAUGGCCUUUCUGCCAUGGAUGUCUGCCCUGGUACCCGCUGUCACCGUUUCCCUGCCCCGAUCCCAGCUGCGCUGCAUUCAGCCUGACACGCAUUCAUCUCGCUUAACGCCGCUCCAAAAGUGACACAGGCCGCCGCUCAUAAAGAGCUCUUUAUUUGGUUAUUAACGAUAGUAAGAAGGCCCUUGACAAACAUUUUGGGAGUGAGUUUGUGAUUGUGAGGCUUGCACAUGUGUGAGCUAGUGGCUGGUGCGCAUGCAGUACCAUGCCCGUUUGUCAGAGUGUUUUACCGUGGUAUUAAGAUGUCAUCUGUCAGAUGCGCUCUGAGAAGACUGUGCUUUGCUUUACUAAUGAAUCUGUAGUAGAACAUUAACAGUGAAUCUCACAAGACCUGUCAAAAACAUGUCUGGGGUGAAUUUCACCACAAAUUUAAAAGAAAAAAAACAACAUUUAAUUAUAUUUCACUUAAAAAAUUAAACCAUUAAGAUUUUUGUGACUCAUUUUAUUUUACUUACAUAAAAAAUUAUAUAUAUAUAUAUGUGUAUGUGUAUGUGUGUAUAUAUAUAUAUAUAUGUAUAAAUAGGGGACUGUGAUUAUAUAUUAGGGGUGUAACGGUACACAAACAUGACGGUUCAGGGUUCAGUGCUUACCUUGAUAUUGAAGUCAUGGUUCAGUAUAGCACGUGGGAGAAACCCAAACAUAAAAUUACUUUUUUUUUUUUCUUCUUUUUUUAUUAAACAGUGGUUUAUUGAACAAAAAUUUGUCUUUCUUUAAAUAAAUUCAAUUAGAAUUAACAUUUUCUUAAGGAUAAAAAAAUCUAUCUACAAAUCUAUCUGUAAACUGUAUACUGGAGCCCUUUUUUGCACAUUGCUUUAAUAUUAAAAGUUACAAUUAACAGCAGAGCCCAAAGUAUUACAUUCAUUUACUAUUUAUUUUUACAAUAAGCACUCAAAAAACUUAAAAUGCACAUAAGGCAAGUUUUGCAUUAAAUCUAAAUCUAAAUUAUUUUUCAAAUAUGGUCAUUUACACAGUUGCUGUCAUUACCUGUUAGUAAUGUCUUAAUUAUUUAAUAUAUGUUUAAAUAAAUUUGUAAUAAACUUGUAAUGAAAACAAGUUAAGUAAAUAUAAUAAAUAUAUAAGAUAAUAUAGUGAAUAUAUUUAGUGAAAUGUUAAUUUCUGUAGUAAACUAACAUGCUGUGGACACUAAAUGACUUGCCUGAGGUAAAUGUAAUGCUACGUGAGAUAUUAUUCUCAAGCUGUUUUAUUGAUGUCUUUCCACGGUUGAACCAGAGAUUACACAUAAACAUGUCCAUGCAUAGAUCGUCUGUUCUUCUUCUUCUUUUGCGCUUUUUCCUGUUGUGGCGGUUAGCAAUAUGCACCGAACCAUGCACGAAUACAUGCACUGUUACACCCAAUAUAUAUAUAUAUAUAUACACACACACACACACAUAUACAGUAUAUAUAGUGUACAUUUAUAUUGUUACAUUGUACUUACAUUUGAAGUACAGUACCUGGAUGUAAUUACUUUACAGAUAAUGCAAAUCUGACAAAAGUUUUGAAAAACAACAUUUACAAUAUGUACAUUAUAUAAAAUGAUUGAUUUUAUAUCAUGAAUCACAAACAGAAUCAGUAAAUGCAUAGUUAAGACAUGUAAAGUGGGAACAUUGUAAUGUAAAGUGGGAAAAUUCUUAGCAUUGUGUGUAUUUGGGGAAGAAUUUGUGUAUCACUGUAUCCUUCUGUACUGUAAAUGAAUUGCCUCAAUUAAAUUUGAUAAGAAACUGGAUGGAUGGAUGGAUGGAUGGAGGGAUGGAAUGAACAAACACUGCUUUCUGGAGGAUGUUAAUUCAAACUUUGCAUCUACAAACUAACAGACAUGAAUAGGGAUUGGGUCUGUUUAAGCUGUCUUUGUAAUUGUGGUCAGUGAUUAAAAUGCGCCUCAACCAUAAUUUUGCAUAAAAACAUCAGUCUCAGAGAAUACAGACAUUUGGCUUGAAAGCAUGUUUGUCCAUGCGUUCUAUGCAUGUACGCACAUGUGUCCACUGGCAUGCUCUGUACGGGUAGUAUUGUGUAACUUGAGAUCAGGGCAUGCUUUAUACAUGCAGAAAUCUGGACACAUUUACAGACCCAGCUGCACACACAACAAAACCAGCACCCAGCUGCAGACAUGAGUCCAGACUGUCUCUCUCUCUCUCUCAUGCCCCGGGUCUUUCUGCCCUGCACCCACUCCUGACGCAUGUCCCGGGGCCACAGGCUUGUUGUAAUGCUAAUAACUCUGCUGAACAGAAAAAAAGAGAGAGAAAUGUUAAAUGUUGUUUGCAGUCAGGAACAGAAAGGGCACAGAAAGACCAUUAGACACCGCAAUUAAUUACACGCAUGUGAUAUUAAAUGAGUCACAUGACAAUAGGAUUAAUUUCCACAUGAUACAUGAAGAAUGUUCACACUGUUCUUUUCUACACUGUAAAAAGUAAUAUGCUCCAUCUACUCAUUAAAAUUGCGGCAACAGA